CGUAGCCGCCAGGGGUAUCCCUCAUCCGAGGCCGAGCGUCUCGUAGGGAUUGAGAGCAGACCCUUGGAACCUGAUCCGGUUGAAACCGGCGAAGGGAGAGCGGGAUGUCAGCCUU
rnacentral:ncRNA from 2 species